UACGAAGGGGGCUAGCGUUGCUCGGAAUCACUGGGCGUAAAGCGCACGUAGGCGGCUUUUUAAGUCAGGGGUGAAAUCCUGGAGCUCAACUCCAGAACUGCCUUUGAUACUGAGAAGCUUGAGUCCGGGAGAGGUGAGUGGAACUGCGAGUGUAGAGGUGAAAUUCGUAGAUAUUCGCAAGAACACCAGUGGCGAAGGCGGGUCUCUGGACAGUUCCUGACGCUGAGGCACGAAGGUCAGGGGAGCAAACGGG
rnacentral:rRNA from 1 species